ACGAGGACAGGGAAAAUCGAUCCCAAACAUGUGGAAAUUUUCAAGAAACAAGUUGGGUGCUUGAACUUCCCAGAGGACUACCACAGCUAUGAUGGCAAAACAGAACUGUGCCCCGAUGUCAAGGAGAGCACGCAGGAAUAAAGAGGAGGCAACGAGAUCCACAAAGCUGCAUGGAUUAAAAGAAAAUACAGAUGUCACACAGUGGAAAAUUGUGUUCUUAUGUUUUGUUUUGGAUUGGACUGUGUGUUGGUGUAUAGUGUCAAUUUUAGUUGCAUGAUCUUAUUGUAAUAAUUUUUAUUGCAUGAUUUUAUUCCAUAUUUAUACUGUGUUUUGUGUUGUUGUACAGUAUUCUUUUUUUAUUCCACUGUGGAUUGGACAGAUAAUUGCGUGCACCUGUGAGGUGGGGGCGUGCCCCCCCGAGGUGGCCUAUUGGCCGCCAAACUGACUUAAGGGAGAUAGUGAGCGCAAAGACAGGAGAAGAGACACACGGAAAGCGAAGAGCAGGAAACCGAACGUGUGCAGACGAGCGCAUGUAUAGAAGGACCGGCCUGCCUGUGCGGUGUCACGAGACUUCCGGCGAUCGGCCAGCAUAACCCGGCGAUUCAGUUCUGACGGACAGAAUAGCAACAGUGGGAGGCGACGCGUGAAAUCCACAGUAGGGCAGAGGGGACGCCUCUGCCUGCAUCCGUGAGUAUCGCUUUCCCACUGUUGGGCGCUAGGCGUGGUUUUACCGGGGAAGGGUAACAGUGGCUGUGCCGACUACGUUGCUGGCCCGUGUUUGUUGUUUUAGGGCCGGGCUACGAGGGAAGCCGUGUGCGGGUGCGGAGAGUGGCUGGACUGCACGGUCACGCGCCGCCAGGUGGGGAUAGGAGCCUCCUCCCUGGCCUUCUGCUGGCGAGAUUUUCCCAUCCCGGAAGAGGAGCUCCCCUUCUGUCUCUUUCAGCUAAGGAACAUUUGCCCGAGAGUGUGUGUGGUUGGACACUGGGAAUAGAGGACUCUGGGGGGGACGUUUUAUCGUAUAAAAAGGACAUUCAUUUAGCUUUGAUUUUUUUAAUUGUAUUUUAAUCUCUGCCGGCAGGGCUUUUUAGCGGGUUGGGAACAUUUAUUUUUUAUUGUAUAGUGGGGAUUUUAACUCCUACUUGUGAUUCUGGCUGUUCUUCUAAAAAAAUAAAUGGUGUGUUUAAAGCCG